CGGAGGCAGCAGUAGGGAAUGUUGGACAAUGGGGGGAACCCUGAUCCAGCCAUGCCGCGUGUGUGAAGAAGGCCUUUUGGUUGUAAAGCACUUUAAGCGAGGAGGAGGCUCCCUAGACUAAUACUCUAGGAGAGUGGACGUUACUCGCAGAAUAAGCACCGGCUAACUCUGUGCCAGCAGCCGCGGUAAUACAGAGGGUGCAAGCGUUAAUCGGAUUUACUGGGCGUAAAGGGUACGUAGGUGGUCUUUUAAGUCGGAUGUGAAAUCCCUGAGCUUAACUUAGGAAUUGCAUUCGAUACUGAGAGACUAGAGUAUGGGAGAGGAUGGUAGAAUUCCAGGUGUAGCGGUGAAAUGCGUAGAGAUCUGGAGGAAUACCGAUGGCGAAGGCAGCCAUCUGGCCUAAUACUGACACUGAGGUACGAAAGCAUGGGGAGCAAACAGGAUUAGAUACCCCGGUAGU
rnacentral:rRNA from 1 species